AUUGAACGCUGGCGGCAGGCCUAACACAUGCAAGUCGAGCGAGCGGCGGACGGGUGAGUAAUGUCUGGGAAACUGCCUGAUGGAGGGGGAUAACUACUGGAAACGGUAGCUAAUACCGCAUACCAUCAGAUGUGCCCAGAUGGGAUUGGCUAGUAGGUGGGGUAAUGGCUCACCUAGGCGACGAUCCCUAGCUGGGCUGAGAGGAUGACCAGCCACAGUGGGACGGGGACGCGGUCCAGACUCGUACGGGGGGCAGCAGUGGGGAAUAUUGCACAAGGGGCGCAAGCCUGAUACAGCCAUGCCGCGUGUGUGAAGAAGGCCUUCGGGUUAUAAAGCACUUUCAGCGGGGAGGCGUUACCCGCAGAAGAAGCACCGGCUAACUCCAUGCCAGCAGACGCGGUAAUUC
rnacentral:rRNA from 1 species